CUGUGGUAUUGUGUUAUGGCAGUCUGAACAGGCUAAGACAUCAUCCAUUGCGGUGAGCAAAGUGAUGAUGGUAGAAUUGCUAUGGGCAUUUUUGGGAUUCAGCUGAAAGGAAGAAUAAUCUCCAGAAAACUAUUACAACAACAGGAAUUGGAAACCUGAACAAAACUUCAGAGAAAUCAAGAGCAGUCUCGACAUUGAAGUCCAGUAUACUGCGAAAUUACACCGAAAUUCAAUAUUAGCAUUGAAAUGAUUUCUCAGUCUU